AUAACCUAAAUAUAAAUAAUUUAACAACUUAAAUAUAAUAGGCUUUCCUUCUCUCCCUUCUAUGCCAACAAAGACGCCACGUCAUAAAUUGGACUUUCAUGUGCGCGACACGUGUCCCGUUAAAUGAAAUGCAGCGUGUUAUGGCAUCGGGCUUUGCUUAGGCUUUGUCUCGCGUUUUGUUUUUGCGGCCCAACGACCAGCGACGCGACCACAUGAGAGAAAGAACCCGUCCUGAUUCACGCCUUCGUGUUCUUCGUUUCUUUUCGAUCGGCGGACAGGGCGAUCCAGUUUCUGUAUCGUCCGGUAGGUGUUCAUCGGUUGUGGAUGCAAUGUUGUUGCGGUAUUGAGAGGCUAGAAACGUCAAGGGUGGUGGGGGAGCUUAUGUGGGUCGAUAUGCUAAUGGUGGAUAUUAAAUUGAGUGAUCUCAGUGGUGAAACCUCAGCCAGGAGAUAGGAUAUUGAACGCAUGUGCUGCUCCUGGAGGGAAGACCCUUUUCAUGGCAUAUUGCUUGAAACACCAAGGCUGAUGCUAUGGACGUGAAUGAAGGACGGCUAAGAAUUCUUGGGGAGACAGCUAAAUCACACCAAGUUGCUGGACUUUAUCACAGCCAUUCAUUCCGAUCUACGUGUCUUCGCUGUGAGUUAUUACUGUUUGAGUAAGUGAGCUUUACAAGUGUGUAAGCUACUCACAUUGCGUUCUUCAAACUCAAAUGCCUUUUAGGAGACAAAAGAGGUAAAAUAUGAUAAAUUGUUUCUUGAUGCCCCGUGUUCUGGAAUCGGUGUCCUCUCUAAGGUUAACAUGAGCAAUUUUUUAUCAUACUGUUUUUUCUUAGUUGAAUAGCUUAACAUGUUCCUUCUCUCUCUCUCUCUCUCUGUUUGCAUAGAGCGGACUUGCGCUUGAACUGCAAACUGGAGGACAUGGAAGAACUUAAGAUUCUACAGGAUGAGCUUCUUGAUUCUGCCUCCAACCUGGUGGGUUCUUGAUAUACAGUACUUGCUCGAUAGACCCUGAAGAAAAUCAAGGAAGAGUCGAAGCGUUUCUCCUAAGACAUCAUGAAUUCUCGGUAGAUCUAGUAGAUAGAUUAGUACCAUCAAGUUUUGUAACGUCACAAGGCGUCUUUUUAUCCAACCCAGUGAAACACUCCUUGGAUGGAGCGUUUGCAGCCAGUCUGGUUCGAGCUUUAUGAUGUAAAAGUCAAGCUUAUUUUCUCUGAUCAUCUUGAUAACAGAGAGAUAGGGUUCCAUUUGUGUAUCUGAUGAGCUCAUCCAACUACAGUUUAACACAAGGAAUAAUCAGGUUGAUGAAGAUGAUAUAUAUUAUACUCCAUAUAAGAUCGUGGAAACGGUGGACGUGUUUCAAUGGAAAGACUGUAAAUGGCUGGAGGUUAAGAUGCUUGUAUACCUGUGGGCUGUGGGUUUUGUGCUGCCUCAUCAAGAAUUGGGCUCGAUGCCAUUAAGUUACGAACAUCUGCUCUGGAAAACUUUGCAAGCUCAGUGAUUAUGUUGACCUGUAUAUAUUUUGGUGCGUAGCAGAGGCGGACCUAGGUAAUGAAAUGGUGUGUCAAUUGACCCAGGUUAAAUAUUAAAAAGUGUCUUGUGGCCUAUAGUUAUUAUGUUUACUUAGCUCAAAUGGUCAGUGUUGCACCCCCUUAAACAUGAGUUAAUGGGUUCAAUACCCUAUUUUGUAUUACUUUUUGAAAUUUAAUUUGUCACUGACCCAGAUUAAAAAAAAUCUUGGGUCCGCCACUGGUGCGUAGAAACUCUCUGUGGGAUAUCUCAUUAAGCUCCCACAUCGUUUUUAACUUGAAUUUGAAAAGAGAGGCCGUAAUGGUGUGGGCUUAGACGAAUAGGUUUUAUGUAGGGGGGUUUGACAUACAUGCCAUUAACCUUGUAUGCAUUAAAUCUGGAGAUUGGGAAAUAUAUUCUAGUCAACGUAUUUUAAAGCAUUGAUAAUUUGGCAUAUCCAUUGAUUGUCAGAGAUUAGUACGUGGAUUUGAUUUUAUGACGUGGGAAGUUUAAAUCUUAAGGUUUAUUCACGUGUUUGACUUUAUGGAAUUAGUGUCAUUCUUUAUGGGAAUUAUUACUUGAAAAUAUUGUGUCCUCCAGGUUGGUGCCAAGAUCUUGCAAUGGUUGAUGAUGGGUGUUUUGGUGGUCGGUUUUUAGUUUUGACGACGAUAAGGUUUGUUAUGGAAUCAAAUUUCAAAUUUUGCGUUGAAUAAUGAGCAAUCUAGGUACUCUCAGUCUUGUUUGUUAUUUGCCAAAUAACAAAAAAAAGAUUUGUAGAAAGAAGCUAGAGAGAUAGAAAAAAGGAGGUUUGAUAAAAAAAAAAAAA